CCGACUAGUAGUCGGUGGCGACGCUAUCAUAUUGGAGUCAUCGAUGGUAUCAUCAAUGGCAUUGCCGAUAGGGUGCCAUUACCGAAUAGAUAUCAGAUUGUCUUAAUUGAUCACGGCUUGAGUAAACGAUCGGCGAUAGAUUAUCGGUGUCGAAUGGUGAUAUGGUAGUCGGUGUGGCGAAUUAUCAACUCUUUUGACUGAUUAAAUCAUUCAGCCGCCC
rnacentral:lncRNA from 1 species